rnacentral:rRNA from 1 species
AGAGUUUGAUCAUGGCUCAGGAUGAACGCUGGCGGUAUGCCUAACACAUGCAAGUCGUACGAGAGUUUUUAACUCAAGUGGCGGACGGGUGAGUAACACGUGAGAAUUUGCCUUUAGGAGGGGGAUAACAGAGUGAAAACGCUGCUAAUACCCCAUAUGCUUUCGAGUGAAAUGGAUUUAUUCGCCUAAAGAGAAGCUCGCGGCUGAUUAGCUUGUUGGUAAGGUAAUGGAUUACCAAGGCGACGAUCAGUAUCUGGUUUGAGAGGACGAUCAGACACACUGGAACUGAGACACGGUCCAGACUCCUACGGGAGGCAGCAGUGGGGAAUUUUCCGCAAUGGGCGAAAGCCUGACGGAGCAAUACCGCGUGAGGGAAGACGGCCUAUGGGUUGUAAACCUCUUUUCUCAGGGAGGAAAUCAAUGACGUUACCUGAGGAAUAAGCGUCGGCUAACUCCGUGCCAGCAGCCGCGGUAAGACGGAGGAUGCAAGUGUUAUCCGGAAUCACUGGGCGUAAAGCGUCUGUAGGUGGCUUAACAAGUCAACUGUUAAAUCUUGAAGCUCAACUUCGAAAUCGCAGCCGAAACUGUUAGGCUAGAGUAUAGUAGGGGUAAAGGGAAUUUCCAGUGGAGCGGUGAAAUGCGUAGAGAUUGGAAAGAACACCGAUGGCGAAGGCACUUUACUGGGCUAUCACUGACACUCAGAGACGAAAGCUAGGGUAGCAAAUGGGAUUAGAUACCCCAGUAGUCCUAGCCGUAAACAAUGGAUACUAGAUGUUGGGCAGAUCGACCUGUUCAGUAUUAAAGCUAACGCGUUAAGUAUCCCGCCUGGGAAGUAUGCGCGCAAGCGUGAAACUCAAAGGAAUUGACGGGGGCCCGCACAAGCGGUGGAGCAUGUGGUUUAAUUCGAUGCAACGCGAAGAACCUUACCAGGGUUUGACAUGAUACGAAUUUUUUUGAAAGAAAAAAGUGCCGUUUGGAACGUAUACACAGGUGGGUGCAUGGCUGUCCUCACCUCCUGUCCUGAAAAAUUUGGGUUAAAUCCCCCGACCAAAGGCACCCCUUAUUUUUAGUUGCCUUUUAUGGAAACCUAGAAAGACUGCUGGGUUUUAAACCCGGAGGAAAGGGGGGGGAUGAACUUCCUUUCCCUCUU